AUAGAUCCCCACAGUAAAUGAGGACAUCAGAACCUGACUUAGACUAUUAACUAUGAGUAAUAGUCUAAAAAUUCAUAAGAAAUUUUAAUUCACCAACCCACAAAAGCCAGACGUGCCAGGAAAUCAAAUUUCUGAAAUGACAAGCAUACCCGGCGAGAAACUGAAGCAAAUUCGAAUUUCAUGGAACUAAGCAAUCGAAAAUAUGAACCCAGAAAGAAAUAAAAUAAAACCAUGCUUAUCUGCCAAAUUAAAAAUGUAUGUAUAACCGGAAGCCCAUAUUACCAGACACCGAUUCCUAGGAGGACAUAAAUAUCAAAUGCAGAGAUAGGAUUGCUAUGUCUCGUUGUUCGA
rnacentral:misc_RNA from 1 species